CCCUUAGAUGUCCUGGGCCGCACGCGCGCUACACUGAUGCAUUCAACGAGUUUUACCUUGGCCGAGAGGCCUGGGCAAUCUUUUAAACCUGCAUCGUGAUAGGGAUAGAUUAUUGCAAUUAUUAAUCUUGAACGAGGAAUUCCUAGUAAACGCAGAUCAUCAAUCUGCAUUGAUUACGUCCCUGCCCCUUGUACACACCGCCCGUCGCACCUACCGAUUGAAUGGUCCGGUGAAGCCUCGGGAUUGUGGCCAGUUCACUUUAUUGGGAGUUGGCUGCGAGAACUUGUCUAAACCUUAUCAUUUAGAGGAAGGUGAAGUCGUAACA
rnacentral:rRNA from 1 species